GCUCCUAUGGCGUAGGGUCACUGCGCUCGCCUUGCACGCGGGAGACCCGGGUUCGAUUCCCGGCGGGGUCA
rnacentral:tRNA from 1 species